rnacentral:rRNA from 1 species
UGGGCAACCUGCCCCUCUCUCUGGGAUAACCCCGGGAAACCGGAGCUAAUACCGGAUACUCCGGCGCGAUCGCAUGGUCGCGCCGGGAAAGCUCCGACGGUCCGGGAUGGGCCCGCGGCCUAUCAGCUUGUUGGCGAGGUAACGGCUCACCAAGGCUUCGACGGGUAGCUGGUCUGAGAGGACGGACAGCCACACUGGGACUGAGACACGGCCCAGACUCCUACGGGAGGCA